GUGUCAGCAGCCGCGGUAAUACGUAGGGCGCAAGCGUUGUCCGGAAUUAUUGGGCGUAAAGAGCUCGUAGGCGGCUUGUCACGUCGGGUGUGAAAGCCCGGGGCUUAACCCCGGGUCUGCAUUCGAUACGGGCUAGCUAGAGUGUGGUAGGGGAGAUCGGAAUUCCUGGUGUAGCGGUGAAAUGCGCAGAUAUCAGGAGGAACACCGGUGGCGAAGGCGGAUCUCUGGGCCAUUACUGACGCUGAGGAGCGAAAGCGUGGGGAGCGAACAGGAUUAGAUACCCUGGUAGUCCACGCCGUAAACGGUGGGAACUAGGUGUUGGCGACAUUCCACGUCGUCGGUGCCGCAGCUAACGCAUUAAGUUCCCCGCCUGGGGAGUACGGCCGCAAGGCUAAA
rnacentral:rRNA from 1 species